UACGUAGGGCGCAAGCGUUGUCCGGAAUUAUUGGGCGUAAAGAGCUCGUAGGCGGUCUGUUGCGUCUGCCGUGAAAACCCGAGGCUUAACCUCGGGCCUGCGGUGGAUACGGGCAGACUAGAGGUAGGUAGGGGAGAAUGGAAUUCCCGGUGUAGCGGUGAAAUGCGCAGAUAUCAGGAGGAACACCGGUGGCGAAGGCGGUUCUCUGGGCAUUACCUGACGCUGAGGAGCGAAAGUGUGGGGAGCGAACAGG
rnacentral:rRNA from 1 species